GAUGAACGCUAGCGGCAGGCCUAAUACAUGCAAGUCGGACGGGAUCCAUUGAUAGCUUGCUAUCAAUGGUGAGAGUGGCGCACGGGUGCGUAACGCGUGAGCAACCUGCCUCCAUCAGGGGGAUAGCCUCUCGAAAGAGAGAUUAACACCGCAUAAUAUCAACAGUUCGCAAGUUCAGUUGAUUAAAUAUUUAUAGGAUGGAGAUGGGCUCGCGUGACAUUAGCUAGUUGGUAGGGUAACGGCUUACCAAGGCGACGAUGUCUAGGGGCUCUGAGAGGAGAAUCCCCCACACUGGUACUGAGACACGGACCAGACUCCUACGGGAGGCAGCAGUAAGGAAUAUUGGUCAAUGGGCGGAAGCCUGAACCAGCCAUGCCGCGUGCAGGAUGACUGCCCUAUGGGUUGUAAACUGCUUUUGUCCAGGAAUAAACCUAAAUACGAGUAUUUAGCUGAAUGUACUGGAAGAAUAAGGAUCGGCUAACUCCGUG
rnacentral:rRNA from 1 species